GACGAACGCUGGCGGCGUGCCUAAUACAUGCAAGUAGAACGCUGAAGAGAGGAGCUUGCUCUUCUUGGAUGAGUUGCGAACGGGUGAGUAACGCGUAGGUAACCUGCCUUGUAGCGGGGGAUAACUAUUGGAAACGAUAGCUAAUACCGCAUAACAAUGGAUGACACAUGUCAUUUAUUUGAAAGGGGCAAUUGCUCCACUACAAGAUGGACCUGCGUUGUAUUAGCUAGUAGGUGAGGUAAUGGCUCACCUAGGCGACGAUACAUAGCCGACCUGAGAGGGUGAUCGGCCACACUGGGACUGAGACACGGCCCAGACUCCUACGGGAGGCAGCAGUAGGGAAUCUUCGGCAAUGGGGGCAACCCUGACCGAGCAACGCCGCGUGAGUGAAGAAGGUUUUCGGAUCGUAAAGCUCUGUUGUAAGUCAAGAACGGGUGUGAGAGUGGAAAGUUCACACUGUGACGGUAGCUUACCAGAAAGGGACGGCUAACUACGUGCCAGCAGCCGCGGUAAUACGUAGGUCCCGAGCGUUGUCCGGAUUUAUUGGGCGUAAAGCGAGCGCAGGCGGUUUGAUAAGUCUGAAGUUAAAGGCUGUGGCUCAACCAUAGUUCGCUUUGGAAACUGCCAAACUUGAGUGCAGAAGGGGAGAGUGGAAUUCCAUGUGUAGCGGUGAAAUGCGUAGAUAUAUGGAGGAACACCGGUGGCGAAAGCGGCUCUCUGGUCUGUAACUGACGCUGAGGCUCGAAAGCGUGGGGAGCGAACAGGAUUAGAUACCCUGGUAGUCCACGCCGUAAACGAUGAGUGCUAGGUGUUGGAUCCUUUCCGGGAUUCAGUGCCGCAGCUAACGCAUUAAGCACUCCGCCUGGGGAGUACGACCGCAAGGUUGAAACUCAAAGGAAUUGACGGGGGCCCGCACAAGCGGUGGAGCAUGUGGUUCAAUUCGAAGCAACGCGAAGAACCUUACCAGGUCUUGACAUCCCGAUGCUAUUUCUAGAGAUAGAAAGUUACUUCGGUACAUCGGUGACAGGUGGUGCAUGGUUGUCGUCAGCUCGUGUCGUGAGAUGUUGGGUUAAGUCCCGCAACGAGCGCAACCCCUAUUGUUAGUUGCCAUCAUUCAGUUGGGCACUCUAGCGAGACUGCCGGUAAUAAACCGGAGGAAGGUGGGGAUGACGUCAAAUCAUCAUGCCCCUUAUGACCUGGGCUACACACGUGCUACAAUGGUUGGUACAACGAGUUGCGAGUCGGUGACGGCGAGCUAAUCUCUUAAAGCCAAUCUCAGUUCGGAUUGUAGGCUGCAACUCGCCUACAUGAAGUCGGAAUCGCUAGUAAUCGCGGAUCAGCACGCCGCGGUGAAUACGUUCCCGGGCCU
rnacentral:rRNA from 1 species